GGCUCAUAUUGAAACCUAGUGAUGUAUGAGUUAGUGGCGGACGGGUGAGUAACGCGUGGAGAACCUGCCGUAUACUGGGGGAUAACACUUAGAAAUAGGUGCUAAUACCGCAUAAGCGCACAGCUUCGCAUGAAGCAGUGUGAAAAACUCCGGUGGUAUACGAUGGAUCCGCGUCUGAUUAGCUGGUUGGCGGGGUAACAGCCCACCAAGGCGACGAUCAGUAGCCGGCCUGAGAGGGUGAACGGCCACAUUGGGACUGAGACACGGCCCAAACUCCUACGGGAGGCAGCAGUGGGGAAUAUUGCACAAUGGGGGAAACCCUGAUGCAGCGACGCCGCGUGAGUGAAGAAGUAUUUCGGUAUGUAAAGCUCUAUCAGCAGGGAAGAAAAUGACGGUACCUGACUAAGAAGCCCCGGCUAACUACGUGCCAGCAGCCGCGGUAAUACGUAGGGGGCAAGCGUUAUCCGGAUUUACUGGGUGUAAAGGGAGCGUAGACGGCAGCGCAAGUCUGAAGUGAAAUCCCAUGGCUUAACCAUGGAACUGCUUUGGAAACUGUGCAGCUGGAGUGCAGGAGAGGUAAGCGGAAUUCCUAGUGUAGCGGUGAAAUGCGUAGAUAUUAGGAGGAACACCAGUGGCGAAGGCGGCUUACUGGACUGUAACUGACGUUGAGGCUCGAAAGCGUGGGGAGCAAACAGGAUUAGAUACCCUGGUAGUCCACGCCGUAAACGAUGAUUACUAGGUGUUGGGGGACCAAGGUCCU
rnacentral:rRNA from 1 species